AUUGAACGCUGGCGGCAGGCCUAACACAUGCAAGUCGAGCGGAUGAAGGGAGCUUGCUCCUGGAUUCAGCGGCGGACGGGUGAGUAAUGCCUAGGAAUCUGCCUGGUAGUGGGGGAUAACGUCCGGAAACGGGCGCUAAUACCGCAUACGUCCUGAGGGAGAAAGUGGGGGAUCUUCGGACCUCACGCUAUCAGAUGAGCCUAGGUCGGAUUAGCUAGUUGGUGGGGUAAAGGCCUACCAAGGCGACGAUCCGUAACUGGUCUGAGAGGAUGAUCAGUCACCCUGGAACUGAGACACGGUCCAGACUCCUACGGGAGGCAGCAGCGGGGAAUAUUGGACAAUGGGCGAAAGCCUGAUCCAGCCAUGCCGCGUGUGUGAAGAAGGUCUUCGGAUUGUAAAGCACUUUAAGUUGGGAGGAAGGGCAGUAAGUUAAUACCUUGCUGUUUUGACGUUACCAACAGAAUAAGCACCGGCUAACUUCGUG
rnacentral:rRNA from 1 species